CUCUUCUUACCAGAAAGAUGUUUGUUUCUGUCGGCACGAUGCGUGGAGAAACCCGCUGGCUGCACCGCCUCGGAUAGCGUCUCUCCAGUGAGCCAUGUUUCCGUGAAGCAAAGAACGUUACAGUCUCUGAUGUCCCUCUGGAAUGCUACCCUUGCUCGGAUUUCAUCAACCUUGUUGUCAAGAGACUGGACAUUGGCAAGAAGAAUGCUAGGGAGUGGUGCACGGUGUGCCCGUCUCCGGAGUCUGACCAGAAGACCGCCUCGUUUCCCUCUUUUUCGGAGUCGUUUUUUUGGGUCGAUGCAUGGAAUCCACUCCGUUGUCCUGUUUGUAAGGCAGAACACAGGAUCCGCGUCGCGAAAAACAUAUUCUUGGUCGUACUGAUGGUGAGUUGACGCUGAUCUUAUAUUCAGUAGUUCUUCUCGACUGUAUGUAAUGAAACCUAAGAUGACCUGGGGUACUAAUGUAAGAAAUAACACGUAAAAAAACAAAAAACUGCAUAGUUUCCUAGGAACGCGAAGCGAGGCGGCCAUCUCUGUCGGCGCCGGAAGUCGCUUUUUACAACAGUUUAAAACGGUUAUUUUCUGUGGUACAGUAUAGGCUAAUGUUAGCACAGUGUAUUGCUAGCAGAGGCAAGUGCAUAGUCGAGCUAGCUAAGAAAGAGAGAGUUAACAUCGUCAGGGACGGCAGAAAAGGACCUGAGACGGAGGUCGGAGCGGGAAAACAACGUGAUUAAAAAGGGAGGAAUGAGUAAAGGAAAGGACAUUUAUUCAACUUUUCAAGACAAACUUUGGAAGCAUCCAUUGAUGCGGAUAACAUUGUGCCUCCAUUUUUUUGUGACAUGUAAUUUACUAGGCAGCCUGCUACAGUCAGACAGAACAGGUAAUAAGACGUAUGGGGAUAUUGUGGAGAUACUUAAAGGACAUUUUUCACGUGAACCACUAGUUAAUGCUGAAAGGUUCAGGUUCCACAGGAGACAUCAGGAAGAGGGAGAAUCGGUGACAACGUUUGCUGCUGCAUUACAGAAACUAUCAGAACACUGAGUUGAAUGGUGUUCUAAAUGACACCACUAGUAUGUGGGCUACGGAGUGAAGCUACACAAAAGAGAUUGUUGACUGAAAGUCAUCUGACUUUGUCAAAGUCCAUUGAAAUCACUUUGUCCAUGGAACUAGCUGCUAUAGAGGCUCACUAGUUAAGUUAAUCAGGAACUUAGUGGGUUCAUCCUAAUCACCAGUUGAUACAUUUUAAUCUCAUACACAAGGUAUAACUUCCACCUAGAAAACAUAAUUUAAUGAACAUCAUAACCUCUCCUCUGUGUGAUCUAUGUAAUCAAGGUGCCAUGGGCUCCUUUAAUCAUGUUUGAGUUUGAGUUUAUUUAUUCUUGCUUAGAUAAAACUUAAGAAAUGCAGAAUUUCCCAAAUGAAUAAUUACAAAAAAAACUUAUUCAAAAUACUGAACAUAUAAGUGACAUGAAUAAAAUACAGAACACAUAAGUGACAUGAAUAAAAUACAGAACAGUUGAUCCAUUACAGGACAUUUGUCAUGAUGGAAAUUAAAAUAUUAAAAUGUGAUUGUAAAAAAUAGAAUUUUUGGUAGAGUUAUCAUACAGUCUGACAGCAGAGUGGCGUUUCUCAGGUGGUUUGUACUGCAGUUAUACAGGACAGUUAUACAGGACAGUUAUACAGGACAGUUAUACAGGACAGUUGUACAGGACAGUUAUACAGGACAGUUAUACAGGACAGUUAUACAGGACAGUUAUACAGGACAGUUAUACAGGACAGUUGUACAGGACAGACAGUCAGGACAGUUAUACAGGACAGUUAUACAGGACAGUUAUACAGGACAGUUGUACAGGACAGUUAUACAGGACAGUUAUACAGGACAGUUAUACAGGACAGUUAUACAGGACAGUUAUACAG
ensembl:lncRNA